UCAGAGGAGCAAAUCAAGAAUCAAACUUUGUUUGAAAUUGAAAGGCUUUUGUUAUCUAAUGGAAGUUCUUUAACAAAUUUCCGUGAAAUCCCAUUUCCUGAUGAUAACAAUAUCCCAACUGCGAUCAACAUGCUCAUAAGUGAUGAAUUAUGUUACGAUAGGCAAGCGUGUCAAGAGGAAUAUCACCGUUUGCUACCUAUGUUGAACAUUGAACAGAAGAAUAUAUUUGAGCGUAUAAUGGCUACAGUGGAUUCAAAAGAAGGAGGUGUUUUCUUUGUCUAUGGAUUUGGAGGCACAGGCAAAACGUUUUUAUGGAAAACUCUAUCUACUUACAUUCGAUCAAAAAGGGAGAUUGUCAUAAAUGUAGCAUCCAGUGCAAUGGCUGCAUUGUUAUUAGAAGGUGGUCGCACGGCGCAUUCUCGAUUUUCAAUACCAAUACAGGUACACGAGACUUCAACUUGCACCAUUACUCCUGAUAGUGAUAUUGCAGCUUUGUUAGAAGAAGCAAAGUUGAUCAUCUGGGAUGAGGCUCCAAUGAUGCAUAAACAUUGUUUCGAAGCUUUAGAUCGAUCUUUGAAAGAUAUUCUCAACCCUACCAAACCUUUUGGAGGUAAGACUGUUGUCUUUGGAGGCGAUUUUCGCCAGAUUUUACCGGUGGUCCCUAAAGGUAGUCGAGAACAGAUUGUUCAAGCUUCACUAUCUUCUUCGUCUCUGUGGAAUUCUUGCCAAGUUCUUUCAUUAACAAAGAACAUGCGACUAACUGUGGAGUCAGAUCCAUUAGAAGUGGAUAUCAUCAAAGAGUUUUCUGAGUGGAUACUAAAACUUGGAGACGGUAAACUUUCUGAGCCAAACAACGGUGAAGCGGAGAUAGAUAUACCAGAGGAUAUGCUUCUCAAAGACUCUUUGGAUCCAAUCAAUUCAAUCGCACUUAGCACAUAUCCGUCUUUGCUUCAGAAUCUUGAUGAUGGGGACUAUUUCAAGGAACGUGCGAUACUUUGUCCUACUAAUGAUGUUGUUGAUGAGGUAAACAAUUACAUCAUGGACCUUCUUCCAGGAGAAUCACAUCAAUAUUAUAGUUCAGAUAAGAUCUGCAGUUCAGAUUCUUCAAGGACGAGGGACGAUGUUAUCUAAUAAAUCACAAGUAAAUUUUCAAGUAACUGCAACAUCCUCCAUAUGACACCUGGCUUAAGUCCCAAUUUUUUAUCUUUCAGCUUUUAAAACAACCAUUAUAUACAUCUCAGACCCCACGAUCUCAAUAUCUAUUUUGUAUUGUUCCCACCAUUAACUUUUACAAUCGACAGUUAUCAUCUUCUACCACCGGAUCCUGUCAAGUGUUUCUCCACCAUUACCUCCUUCAUAGGUUUUUAACUUCUGUCAAAUUUCCAUAUUUAUUGAUUCUCUACUCUUGACAUCAACCUGAAAUUGAUUUGUAUUAAACAAAACUCUUUAUUAUCGAAGGCCAAUAUAAAUGAAAUCAUCAACAGCAAAGAAAAGAAGGGUGGAGAGGAUGGCGAUUCGUUCCAAGAAGAAAAACAAUCAAACAGAAAAUCAGGGUAAUACUAAAUCAAAAAACCUAUUAAUCUAUUUCAUUUCUGCAAACCAAUGGUUGCUUUAACGUUUUUUCUAUCUUAUAUAUACAGAAAACAUUCCUCCUAAUUCUGAAGCUAACCCCAUAUCACCAAUGCAACCAAACAGAGUUUCACCUAAUAGCUUGAGUGAUAUUACAAAUGGUAUUAUCAAUUACUAAGAGUAUAUUUAAUGCCUUGGAUAAUAUUAUGAUUUCACAGCUAUUUAUUUGAAAUAUUUUCAGUAGAAUGUGAAUCUCCAAGGAUGAAACGAAUGCGUAUUAUAAAGGAGACGAAAGAUAAAAGAAAGAAAGGAGAAUCAUGUAAGAAUGUUGUUCACAACCAGAAUCAUGUCAAAACUUAGUUUACAACAAGAAUCAUGGAAAUCAUACCUUAUUUUCAGCUUCAGCUCCAAGUACUAACUUGGACCAAAACUUGGACGAGACGACACCGAACGUUGACGAGACGACACAGAACGGCAAGAGCAAUGGCAAUGGAUUUCCAUGUACUGCAGCAAGUAGGAGGAAAACAAACGUGCAUAAGGAACCAUAUAUGCAAGAAUCAAGACAUGAUAAUCACAAAGAAGCUCCAUCUAAAGGUACAUACUUUUUAGCAUCAUCCGAUCCUAACUAAUAAAUUUUUCAGAGUUUAAACUAUAAUGUUUUUAUGUUCUUUUCAGACCAUGCAUCAUCCUCACGUUCACAUAAUUCACUAUAUAACUCUGAAGAGUAUGAUGACAAUGGGGAUGCAAUCUACAACUGUGAACACUGUGGAGCUUUAAUGUGGUAUAACGAACGCAUAGAAAAGAGGCGCGUGAAAUCUUACCCAAAGUUCUCACUUUGUUGUAUGCAUGGAAAGAUCGAUUUGGCACCACCACCAGAACUUCCCCAGAUUCUUAAAGAUCUCAUGUUCAAAGGUGAUGAAAGAAGCAAAAAUUUCAUGGAGAAUAUACGACCUUACAACUCAAUGUUUGCAUUCACAUCUAUGGGUGGAACAAUUGACACAUCGGUGAACAAAGGACGAGGGCCAAAUGUUUACCGACUUCAAGGUCAAAAUUGUCAUAGGAUUGGCAGUCUACUUCCUCCUCCAGGAAAACCACCUAAAUUCAAUCAGUUGUAUAUACAAGACACUGAGAAUGAGAAUCAAAACCGAAUAGAAGCAUUCAGGUUUAAAGUUACUUUACAUUGAUUUACAACUAUUACACAAAUUUUUUAUGUUAUUCUUUGCAUCUUUAUUUUCCAGAACUUCUCAUUAUAUUUAAUUUUUGCAGUGCAAAGAGAACUGGUCAAUUACCUGAAUCAAAAACCCUACGAGAUGAUAUUGUGGAAGAUAUAAAAAAGAUGCUUAAUGAGUAUAAUCCAUACUCAAAGAUUCUGAGAACAGCAAAAGAUCGUUUCAAAGAUACACCUUCGUCAAAUGUUCAGUUGAAAUUGAUUUCGAGGCGAACUGCAGGUGCUACAAGUAGUACAAGUGAAAAAACUUACAAUCUUCCUACCACAACAGAAGUUGCUGCUUUAUAUGCUGGAGAAUUUGAUAUAGAAAUGGAGCCAAGAGAUGUUGUGUUGGAAACAAGGGACGGAAAUUUAAAGAGAAUAAGUGAGCUUCAUGCUGGAUAUCUUCCAUUACAAUAUCCGCUUUUGUUUCCCUACGGAGAAGACGGUUACCACAUAGAUUUACAACUAAAGAAGACAACAACAGGUUCAACAAAUCCACGAACAAGGGUUAGUAUGAGGGAAUUUUUUGCUUACAAGCUCAUGGAACGUCCAAAUCAUCCCACUUCUUUGAUGAGCUCAGGGAAAUUAUUUCAACAGUUUCUGGUAGAUGGAUUGACAAUGAUCGAGGCAGAAAGAAUAGGCUACUUGAAGCUAAACCAAAAGACUUUACGUGCUGAUAAAUACGUCAACGUAGAAGCUGCCGCUGAUAAAGGAAACAUGAACACCUCAAAGGUUGGUAAGCGUAUAGUGCUACCAUCUACCUUCAUUGGUAGCGCACGAUGUACGCAAGAAAGAUAUAUGGAUGCAAUGGCAGUUUGUCAGCACUUUGGAUAUCCAGAUUUGUUUAUUACGUUCACUUGCAAUCCAAAAUGGCCUAAAAUUACAAGAUUUCUAAAUGCAAGAGGUCACCAAUCAAUAGACAGAGCUGAUAUUGUGGCUAGAAUCUUUAAGAUUAAGCUCGACAAUUUGAUUGCUGAUAUUAAACAGAAUAAUGUCUUCGGUCCUGCAGCAGCAGGUAAAAACAUCUAACACUUCUUUUUAUUGUUCAUUUUUAGAAUAAUUUCCUUUAAGUUUUGAUUUGUCGUAAUGAUACUACAUGUUUUAUGCAGUUUUGUACACAGUAGAAUUUCAAAAAAGAGGACUACCACAUGCCCAUAUCCUACUCUUUUUGCAGAAGGGAUCAAAAUUGUCAUCAACAACUGCCAUUGAUACAGUUAUCUCUGCUGAAAUUCCAGACGAAGCAACUAAUCCCAGCCUCUACAAUGUUGUCAAAGAAUUUAUGAUACAUGGACCUUGUGGGCUUGCAAAUCCUAAAUCACCAUGUAUGGAUAAAAGAAAGUGCACUAAGAAAUUCCCUAAAGAUUUCAGCAGCAGCACUUGCAUCAACAAAGAUGGAUUUCCAGUUUACAAACGAAGAGAUGAUGGUCGAUCAGUUGAGAAAAAUGGACCUGUUCUAGACAAUGGAUUUGUUGUUCCUUACAACGCAUAUCUACUUCUCAAGUAUCAAGCCCACAUCAAUGUGGAGUGGUGCAGCCAAACAAAAGCAAUCAAGUAUUUAUUCAAAUACAUCAACAAGGGAAGUGAUCGUGUCUUAGCUACAACAAAGAAAAAUCCAAUAGGAAAUGAUGCAUCUUCAGACCCGGACGUAGAACAUGUUAUAGAUGAAAUCGAGCGCUUCUAUGAUUUUAGGUAAAAUUUGUUUCUAAGAUAGUAUACUACAUGUCUUUGUUUUUGGAAGGUUAAUUUACGGUUUUCUAAUUUCUUUAAAGGUACAUUGCACCAUGUGAAGCUACGUGGAGGAUAUUUGGAUUUGAAAUACACUAUAGUAGUGUUCAUAUUCAAAGACUGAAUAUUCAUCUAGAAGGAGAGCAUAGUGUUAUGUACGAUGAUGAUGAUGAUGUUGAUGAAGUCCUAACCAAAGAAGCAAAUCAAACCUCGCAACUAUUAGAGUGGAUGAAAACGAACAGCCGUGACGAUUUCGCUAAGACACUCACGUACGCUGAAUUUCCAUUUUGGUUUGUAUGGAACAAGAAAAUAAAAGAAUGGACUGACCGUCAAAGGAAUAUAGCAUUUGGGAGAAUACAUCAUUUUACUCCAGCAGCGGGUAAUUUGUUCUACAUGAGGAUGCUUUUAAACAAAGCAACAGGAGCUACAUGUUUUGAGGACUUACGCACUGUUGAUGGAGUCAUAUAUUCGACCUACAAGGAAGCAUGUUUUGCCCUAAAUCUUCUUGAUGAUGAUAAAGAGUAUAUUGAUGCAAUAACCGAAGCAAGUCAAUGGGGGUCAGCACAUUAUAUGCGAAGAAUUUUUGUUAUGCUUCUUCUUUCAGAAAGUUUGUCAACGCCAAACCGCGUUUGGUCAGAAACGUGGCAUUUACUCUCCGAGGAUAUAUUAUACAUGCAGCAGAAAAUCCGUCAGGCACCAGGUACAUUUUCAUAAGUUAUUUAGGUAUAAUCCAUAAUUUCAUUUAAGUUUAACUGAAACUGAUGUUUUAUCUUCAACCUGUAGAUUUUUCGAUGUCAGAGGAGCAAAUCAAGAAUCAAACUUUGUUUGAAAUUGAAAGGCUUUUGUUAUCUAAUGGAAGUUCUUUAACAAAUUUCCGUGAAAUCCCAUUUCUUGAUGAUAACAAUAUCCCAGCUGCGAUCAACAUGCUCAUAAGUGAUGAAUUAUGUUACGAUAGGCAAGCGUGUCAAGAGGAAUAUCACCGUUUGCUACCUAUGUUGAACAUUGAACAGAAGAAUAUAUUUGAGCGUAUAAUGGCUACAGUGGAUUCAAAAGAAGGAGGUGUUUUCUUU
rnacentral:lncRNA from 1 species